GAGGGCAGAGCAGCGCCGCUCAGUGUGCAGCCUCACUUCCCUUUCCACAGAAAUAGUGCUCCAUGCUCACCCAGGCUUCCUGUGUUUGUCUGCUGUGCGAGGAAUAAACGGUGUCUCCAGAUCUUCAAAAGAGAACAGGGAAUACAAGCAGAAAAAACACCGUGUGCUUUAAGGAGAAAUACAAGAAUUUGCCAAAAGCAAGGGCAGCACUUUGUACWGGACGUGUCCUUCCUAGAAGCCUUCAAAGAGGACUGUAAUUCUAGGGCUCUGGCCCAGAGUAAAAGGGUUAAUGCAAAGAAGCUUUGGAAUAGCCAGCAAUCUGCCUGCGYCCUGAAGCCUGUGUCCUGAUUGCACUGAUGUAAACAGCUCCAGCAGGAAGCGGGAAGCAGCCACCACUGACAGGAAGAUUGAAUUUAGUAUCAGACUCGUUAUCCAGGCAGAGCAGCUGCUUAUCAGGAUGCUGCUAAGAAAAAGUCUAUCAAUUAGUACAGCAGAGCAGACUGGUCUGACUGCUGCCUGUGACAGCUGCUUCUCCCUGCCCACAAAGACCAUUUACAGCAAUAUAAGCAGGGCGAGAAGGUUCUAGGAAGAUAUUGUAACCUGAGGCAUUAUCCAAAUAAAAAUACUUGCCACAGURUCUUAUGGUCUCACUCGGAUCCGGUUAUUACCACGUGCAGGAAGAGUUUGACUUGUGUGUUGAACUCGGAGGCCGUGUAGUUUUAAAAGUAGCACAGUUAGCRUUAGAGUUGUUUUCAGUCUUAGUUCUCC